GAUGAACGCUGGCGGCGUGCUUAACACAUGCAAGUCGAGCGAAGCGAUUUUAAGGAAGCCUUCGGGUGGAAUUAAAAUUGACUUAGCGGCGGACGGGUGAGUAACGCGUGGGUAACCUGCCUCAUACAGGGGGAUAACAGUUAGAAAUGACUGCUAAUACCGCAUAAGCGCACAGUGCUGCAUAGCACAGUGUGAAAAACUCCGGUGGUAUGAGAUGGACCCGCGUCUGAUUAGGUAGUUGGUGAGGUAACGGCCCACCAAGCCGACGAUCAGUAGCCGACCUGGGAGGGUGACCGGCCACAUUGGGACUGAGACACGGCCCAAACUCCUACGGGAGGCAGCAGUGGGGAAUAUUGGACAAUGGGGGAAACCCUGAUCCAGCGACGCCGCGUGACUGAAGAUGUAUUUCGGUAUGUAAAGGUCUAUCAGCAGGGAGGAAAAUGACGGUACCUGACUAAGAAGCCCCGGCUAACUACGUGCCAGCCGCCGCAGUAA
rnacentral:rRNA from 1 species